UGGGGAAUAUUGCACAAUGGGCGCAAGCCUGAUGCAGCAACGCCGCGUGAGGGACGACGGCCUUCGGGUUGUAAACCUCUUUUAGUAGGGAAGAAGCGAAAGUGACGGUACCUGCAGAAAAAGCACCGGCUAACUACGUGCCAGCAGCCGCGGUAAUACGUAGGGUGCGAGCGUUGUCCGGAAUUAUUGGGCGUAAAGAGCUCGUAGGCGGUCUGUCGCGUCUGCUGUGAAAACCCGAGGCUCAACCUCGGGCCUGCAGUGGGUACGGGCAGACUAGAGUGCGGUAGGGGAGAAUGGAAUUCCUGGCGUAGCGGUGGAAUGCGCAGAUAUCAGGAGGAACACCGAUGGCGAAGGCAGUUCUCUGGGCCGUAACUGACGCUGAGGAGCGAAAGCGUGGGGAGCGAACAGGAUUAGAUACCCUGGUAGUCCACGCCGUAAACGUUGGGCGCUAGAUGUGGGGACCAUUCCACGGUUUCCGUGUCGCAGCUAACGCAUUAAGCGCCCGCCUGGGGAGUACGGCCGCAAGGCUAAAACUUAAAGGAAUUGACGGGGUCAU
rnacentral:rRNA from 1 species